GUGCUCAUUUCAGCAGCACAUAUACUAAAAUUGGAACAAUACAGAGAAGAUUAACAUGGCCCCUGCGCAAGGAUGAGCAUAAUAGUUGCUAGUAGUAUCCGUUUUAU